CUUUUUUACAAGCCUUACAAGCCAAUGAGGCGAUCACUAUCAAAACGGGGCGUGUAUACUUUCAUUGACAGCUACACCAGCAGACAGGAAGGGUCGGGGACGGGCCUUAGAUAUCCUAAUAGCCAAUGAAAAUACCUUUCUGACGAUAUCCAGCAUGUCAAACAACGUCUCACGUGUGGUUGAGAAAACAAAUGCGCAAGGGGUGUGCGUAAACUAGCAGGCUCUUCCCCAGAGUCGGAUAGCUAAAAAUUUGAUUUUUGUGUGGUUAUACCUGUCUCAUUACAUAUCAGAACAUCUGGUAUGCUAUCUAAAUGGUCCACAAGACAGCACAGAGGGUAACCUUUCAUUUGAGACCAAGAUUAUGCUUCUACAUGUUUAGGUUCACUUUUGUUUACAGUAUGCAUUCUGGGUAGCCAAAGGUCUUUUUUGGAGUAUGCGUGUGUCUUCGUUUCCCCGAAAACACGUUACCCGCGCUGAGAGGGGCGGCUGAGAGUCAAACCGGUUCAGCUCACUUCCUCAUUUCCUCACUUCACUCCUUUCUUUCUCCGCUUUUUAAACCUUUCACCUGAUUAACUUUUAUAAGGUUAAAGGUUAAAGUGUUUUAUAAACACUUUAACCUCAGUUUCUUCCCUUACAUUUAUACUUUUAUUACUUUAUACCGUAUGGACGCAUUUUAAUCCCGGAAUAGAUACGAUAAGGUCUCCAGUCUACUAUGGAUGAGGAGAGAGAAGAGGGGGGUCCUACCUCUAAGACCACUCUGUCUGGGGAACAUGGCCGCCGGAGCAAAGCUAAGAGCCCAGAGCAGCAGCAGAGAGCAGACUCCCCUGGACCCAGCUGUGUCUCCAUGAAGAGUGACCACUCUAUGGAUAUACCAUUGGUGUUUAAAGAUGGACGUCCCUCCAGAGAGGAGAGACACCAGAUGACGUCAAAGGUUACCAGUGCUCAGUCUCUACAGCAACAUCAAACAGAGCUGAUCAAGAGGGCUGAGGAGAACGCACACGCUUUCCUAGACAAGGAGCUGAAGAAGCUCUGGAGGGGAUCUCUUCUCAGAUUACCCACAAUUCUCAGAGGGUCAGAGGGAGGAGGAGGAGGAGGUGGAUGAUAAGAAGGAGGAGCAGAGGAGGCGCGCCAUAGAGGGAGUGGUGGACAUCACAAUCCUCUGCCUGAUGGAAAUGAACCAGGAGGAACUGGCCGACAAACUGCGGGGG
ensembl:lncRNA